CUUGUGGUAUGGAGAAAUUUUGGCUUUGAACUUAAACAUUAGCCAGGAGCUGCUAUAACUGCAUUUGCCUCUCGUUGGCCUCUGGAGGGAAGAAGGUUAUUUCAAUGGAUGGCCUCUGGGAGUCAUAGCCCAGUGCUGCUUCAGAAUCCAUGCCUUUUGUCAGUGAUCAACGAACAUUGAAUGGGCAACAAGCCAAUAAGAAUCUAUAGCCUAGAUGUGUCCUUCACAACUUUACCAUCCAAGAGGAACUGGAUGUUGACAUGUUACCAGGGAGUACUGGUUCCAUUGUUCUUGGUUUCAAGGAGAAGAGCACUACAAUGUCCUCUACACACAGAUGCACAUAUCUCUUGUCUUUUCGAUCUUGGCAAAGGCUGCUAUAGGUCUCCGGUAAAUGGAGCACAAUACCACAGAUGUUGGAAAUCCGC